AAACUUGUCUUUCCAAAAUUCACACGCCGUUCACCGGUGCAUUGCUCUUGUGGAACUUUUGUUCAUUAACCAAUCAGUUGCAAAUUUAUAUCCAUCUCCGAUGACGUCUUGUGAGGCGAAAGCUGCAGCUAAGUUUGGGUAAGUUUUCUGUUUUGGUAACUUGGGUGCGUUAAUGGGGUUUAGAAGGCUUUGAUAACCCCGACUUUGAUAUGCUACUUCAACUUUCGCAAUGAACAAUUUAUAUCCAGAAUAAGCUGUCGAAGAAGUGAGAUAUCUUGUUCACAUAAAUGAGGUGUUAUCAGCAAGUACCUUAUCCUGGUUUAAGGCAGGAAUUGAUAGGAGUAGAGUUGAAUAUCUAUUCAUCGUAAAUUGACUGUGUACAUGGAAGAUAUCUUUAUAAUGCUUGAAUUUGAAAUGAUGGAAAAAGAAAAAAAAAGUUUAGAAGCACAAUUUCUCGUGUUCUGACCAUUUGUAGCAUAGCUAUUUAUGUUCUAGUGAAAAAAAAAAUUGAAAUGCUUCAAAAAAAAAAAUCUUUGAUUUUAUAGCGAAAAUCAUACAACAUGUUUAAUCUUGCUAAGAAAAUUCAUUGUGAGAAUAUUUGUAACAUUUUGUCACACCUAUCAAGCUAUUACUUCGCAUAUCUUAGUGCACUGUAUUAAUUUAGAUUAAUGUGGUUGGUUUACAUCUCAGAAUGACAGGAAAGAAUCAUGGAGUGUGUCAUAGCAAUAGGUGAAGGGGCACAUCUUUGCAGAUUGCCCGAAGAAACGCUUAUGCCAGCGGUGUAAACAUGUGUUUGUAAAGUGUUUUGAGAUGGAGAAGGAGUCUUCAAACAAAGAAAAGUUGUUCAAUGGCUGCGGUGGCAAAUGCGGUUUUUGGGAAUGGGUUGGAGAAGGUGAAUACAACUGUGAAUUAAGUAUAGAUAGUGCGACGUCAACUAAUGCUGCAAUGAACGAAUCAGUUGCAGAUGUUACCGGCAUGUUCGAAUCCAGUCUUUGCUUAAACAAUGAGCAAGAGUUUAAACUUUCUGUCAAGGUGACAAUCUGCAAGAAUAAAGCAACUGCGGAAGUCGAUAACAAAGGGGAAGGCCCAGGCUUAAGUAUUAUGGAUUUGCGGUAAUUGUUAUGUAACUUUCGAAGAUAGUGCACUUGUAUAGUGCUAACUAUGUGGGAUUAUAAAAAUAUUGUCAAUGUCUGUUGAAGAUACUGUACUAGAAUACUCAUAACUAUGUGGGAAUGUAAAAAUAUUGUCAAUAGCUUGAUAGCGGUUCACACGAACUGC
rnacentral:lncRNA from 1 species